UUUCCGUAGGUGAACCUGCGGAAGGAUCAUUGUCACCAAUACUCGAUCCCUACCCACCCGCGUGAACUCGUUAACAACGUCUUUUUUUACCAACAACAAACACGAUAACCGUACGCCCUGAUACCGUUGUUUGAACGCGCCUCGCGUGUGGCGGCUUUACAAAUCACACGACAUCACAAAACAACUCUCAGCAACGGAUAUCUUGGCUCUC
rnacentral:misc_RNA from 1 species